AAUGACUAACUCUUGUUC
rnacentral:snRNA from 1 species